rnacentral:rRNA from 1 species
AACGCGAAGAACCUUACCUGGGCUUGAAACAAGCUACUGACCAACGGUAGAAAUAUCGUCUUCCCGCAAGGGGACAGUAGUAGAGGUGCUGCAUGGCUGUCGUCAGCUCGUGCCGUGAGGUGUUGGGUUAAGUCCCGCAACGAGCGCAACCCUUACUAGUAGUUGCUACCCGCAAGGGAGAACUCUACUAGGACUGCUCCGGAUAACGGAGAGGAAGGUGGGGAUGACGUCAAGUCAGCACGGCCUUUAUGUCCAGGGCUACACACGUGUUACAAUGCAUGGUACAGACUGUUGCGAACCCGCGAGGGGGAGCUAAUCGGACAAAACCAUGCUCAGUUCGGAUUGCAGUCUGCAACUCGGCUAAGCAUGAAGCUGGAAUCGCUAGUAAUGGCGUAUCAGAUCGACGCCGUGAAUACGUUCGCCGGGUCNUAGUACACACCG